AGAAUCAACGCUGGCGGCGUGCCUAACACAUGCAAGUCGAACGCGAAAGCCCCGCAAGGGGUGAGUAGAGUGGCAAACGGGUGAGUAACACGUGGGUGACCUGCCUUCGAGUGGGGGAUAACGUCCCGAAAGGGACGCUAAUACCGCAUGACAUCCUGCUUUUGGAAAAGCGGAGAUCAAAGCUGGGGAUCGCAAGACCUGGCGCUUGAAGAGGGGCCCGCGCCUGAUUAGCUAGUUGGUGGGGUAAUGGCUCACCAAGGCGACGAUCAGUAUCCGGCCUGAGAGGGCGACGGACACACUGGGACUGAGACACGGCCCAGACU
rnacentral:rRNA from 1 species